rnacentral:rRNA from 1 species
GACGAACGCUGGCGGCGUGCUUAACACAUGCAAGUCGAACGAUGAAGCCUAGCUUGCUAGGUGGAUUAGUGGCGAACGGGUGAGUAAUACGUGAGUAACCUACCUUUAACUCUGGGAUAAGCCUGGGAAACUGGGUCUAAUACCGGAUACGACCAAUCUCCGCAUGGGGUGUUGGUGGAAAGCGUUAUGUAGUGGUUAUAGAUGGGCUCACGGCCUAUCAGCUUGUUGGUGAGGUAACGGCUCGCCAAGGCGACGACGGGUAGCCGGCCUGAGAGGGUGACCGGCCACACUGGGACUGAGACACGGCCCAGACUCCUACGGGAGGCAGCAGUGGGGAAUAUUGCACAAUGGGCGCAAGCCUGAUGCAGCGACGCCGCGUGAGGGAUGACGGCCUUCGGGUUGUAAACCUCUGUUAGCAGGGAAGAAGAGAAAUUGACGGUACCUGCAGAGAAAGCGCCGGCUAACUACGUG